UUAACCUGUUUACUUACAAAGAAAUUUGUUUUGCUCUCGGCAUCAGCCUGACCUGUCUGCCUCAUCCGUUCGGGGCACUCGAGGCUAAUGGGACUCAGACUAGUCCUUAGUCUGAGGUGACAGGAGGAGCAAACAGGCGUCUCAUCUGUUGCGAAGACAGACUGCCUGCCUGGCCAGCAAGUCUCAGCAAUUCUCCUGCCUCGGUUCCCCAGCACUGGUUCCAUCCUGAGGAUCUAAACUGAGAUCACCACACUGUUCAUGCUCUGACCCACUCUGCCAUCUCCCAAGCCCCACACAGCACCGCUCUUGAGGUGUGGCCAAAGCUACAUGGAAUUUGUCGUGUCGAAAAGGGACAGACAACCAUCUGGAUGACGUACAUCACACGGGGAUGACAGCCAGGACAGCUCUGGAGGAUGCGGUCCACCAUCUGCAGCAACAUGCUGUGAUCUCAUACAAAUACAGAAGAAGUGGCCGGGUCUCCCAUCCCUGGAAACCCUGGCCUCAAGCUAC